rnacentral:rRNA from 1 species
AAUGAACGCUGGCGGCAGGCCUAACACAUGCAAGUCGAGCGCCCCGCAAGGGGAGCGGCAGACGGGUGAGUAACGCGUGGGAACGUACCUUUUGGUUCGGAACAACUCCGGGAAACUGGAGCUAAUACCGGAUAAGCCCUAACGGGGAAAGAUUUAUCGCCGAAAGAUCGGCCCGCGUCUGAUUAGCUAGUUGGUGAGGUAACGGCUCACCAAGGCGACGAUCAGUAGCUGGUCUGAGAGGAUGAUCAGCCACACUGGGACUGAGACACGGCCCAGACUCCUACGGAAGGCAGCAGUGGGGAAUAUUGGACAAUGGGGGCAAGGCUGAUCCAGCCAUGCCGGUUGAGUGAUGAAGGCCGUAGGGAUGUAAAGCUCUUUUGUCCGGGAAGAUAAUGACUGUACCGGAAGAAUAAGCCCCGGCUAACUUCGUG